UACGUAGGGGGCAAGCGUUGUCCGGAAUCAUUGGGCGUAAAGCGCGCGUAGGCGGCCCGGUAAGUCCGCUGUGAAAGUCCAGGGCUCAACCCUGGAAAGCCGGUGGAUACUGCCGGGCUAGAGUCCGGAAGAGGCGAGUGGAAUUCCUGGUGUAGCGGUGAAAUGCGCAGAUAUCAGGAAGAACACCUAUGGCGAAGGCAGCUCUCUGGGACGGUACUGACGCUGAGACGCGAAAGCGUGGGGAGCGAACAGG
rnacentral:rRNA from 1 species